rnacentral:rRNA from 1 species
AGCAUGAGAUUGGGCUUAAAGGGGGCGCAGACGGUUACUUAAGCAGGAUGUGAAAUCCCCGGGCUCAACUUGGGAACUGCGUUCUGAACUGGGUGACUAGAGUGUGUCAGAGGGAGGUAGAAUUCCACGUGUAGCAGUGAAAUGCGUAGAGAUGUGGAGGAAUACCGAUGGCGAAGGCAGCCUCCUGGGAUAACACUGACGUUCAUGCCCGAAAGCGUGGGUAGCAAACAGGAUUAGAUACCCUGGUAGUCCACGCCCUAAACGAUGUCGAUUAGCUGUUGGG